ACGGAAGGCAGCAGUGGGGAAUAUUGGGCAAUGGGCGAAAGCCUGACCCAGCAACGCCGCGUGAAGGAAGAAGGUCUUCGGAUUGUAAACUUCUUUUAUGAGGGACGAAGGACGUGACGGUACCUUAUGAAUAAGCUACGGCUAACUACGUGCCAGCAGCCGCGGUAAUACGUAGGUAGCGAGCGUUAUCCGGAUUUACUGGGUGUAAAGGGCGCGUAGGCGGGGAAGCAAGUCAGGUGUGAAAUCUAUGGGCUUAACCCAUAAACUGCACUUGAAACUGUUUUUCUUGAGUGCUGGAGAGGUAGACGGAAUUCCUAGUGUAGCGGUGAAAUGCGUAGAUAUUAGGAAGAACACCAGUGGCGAAGGCGGUCUACUGGACAGUAACUGACGCUGAGGCGCGAAAGCGUGGGGAGCAAACAGGAUUAGAUACCCUGGUA
rnacentral:rRNA from 1 species